AGGUUUGUAGCUUAGCGGUUAAAGCACUCGCUUGAUAUGCGAGGGAGCGGGGGUUCGAAUCCCCCCAAACCUA
rnacentral:tRNA from 1 species